rnacentral:pre_miRNA from 1 species
GUAUGUGUGUGAGUAUAUAUGUGUGUGUAUAUAUAUGUGUGUGUAUAUAUAUAUAUAUACACACACAUAUAUAUACACACACAUACAUAUACACAUA